rnacentral:rRNA from 1 species
AGGACGAACGCUGGCGGCGUGCUUAACACAUGCAAGUCGAGCGAGGCCCUUCCUUCGGGAAGGAGCCCUAGCGGCGAACGGGUGAGUAACACGUGGGCAACCUGCCCCUAGCACUGGGAUAACUCCGGGAAACCGGGGCUAAUACCGGAUAUGACCUUUGAGGGCAUCCUCUUUGGUGUAAAGGAUUCUGGCUAGGGAUGGGCCCGCGGCCUAUCAGCUUGUUGGUGGGGUAAAGGCCUACCAAGGCGACGACGGGUAGCCGGCCUGAGAGGGCGACCGGCCACACUGGGACUGAGACACGGCCCAGACUCCUACGGGAGGCAGCAGUGGGAAUAUUGCACAAUGGGCGAAAGCCUGAUGCAGCGACGCCGCGUGAGGGAUGACUGCCUUCGGGUUGUAAACCUCUUUCAGCAGGGACGAAGCGAAGUGACGGUACCUGCAGAAGAGCACCGGCAACUACGCGCCAGCAGCCGC